rnacentral:lncRNA from 1 species
GAUUUGCCCAAGAAUCACACAAUACUUGCAAUUUUGACACCUUAUUAGAUCAGAAGUGUCAUCAGAUAUAGAAAAAUAUUUUUCCUUUUAUUGAAGUGUUUUUUAUGAAUGCAGGGGAGGGGGAAAACAAAAGAAAAAUACCCAGAGUUAGUAGGCAAAACUGCAAAAUCGGUAUGCAUGUCCUAUGGGGGAACCCUUUUUGUGCCAAGGGUAGGCCUAGCAUGAAAAUGCAAUCCGCUAGAGUAGGCACUAUACAAUACCUGAUGGAUCUGAUCAACUCAUGGAGUGAAAAAUAAUUUGAAAAAUUUAGCCCAUUGGAAUGAGAAGAGACGUUGGUUAAAAUGAGGACCUCGUCCGAAGGGAUUGAUCACUUUUGAUCGAUAUAAGAAUUUGCAAAAAACGUACGGGUAUGACCUUGACGAACUUCCUAUCGAAGAGAUUGGAAUUCGUUGACAAACUUUCUCAGUGAAGCACGGAUCAAAACUCCAACUGAUGAUUUUCUCAAAAUUGACCAGGUUUCCCUAUUUGAAAUUCGACAUUGAGACCCAAAUUGGUCGAAUGGGUUGAAUGAAAUUGACAAUUUAUUUAAAAUCGACCGAAUUACCCUUAAAAGGGAAACAGGUCAAAUGAAUUGAAUGAAAUUUAAAACUUACUCAAAAUUGACCGAAUCAUCCUAAAAAAAACUUGAUUGAAUGACAUUGAGAAUUUUGUUCAAAAUGAAAUUGGUCAAAUGAAUUGAAUGAAAUCAAGAAUUUAUUCAAAAUUGACCAGAUCGCCCUAAAAGGGUAAACUGGUCCAAUGAAUUGGACGAAAUGGAUGAUUUAUCGAAAAUCGACAAAAUUGCCCUAACUAAUCAAAUGAAUUGAAUGAAAUUGGUGAUUUAUUCGAAUGACCCUAAAAAAGGGGUAAAUUGGUCAAAUGAGUUGACGAUUUAUUCAAAAUCG